rnacentral:rRNA from 1 species
UACGUAGGGGGCGAGCGUUGUCCGAAGUUACUGGGCGUAAAGCGCGCGUAGGCGGUCAAUUAAGUCUGAGGUGAAAGGUUCAGCGCUCAACGUGAACAGUGCCUUGGAUACUGGUUGACUUGAAUGUGGCAGAGGAGCAUGGAAUUCCUGGUGUAGCGGUGAAAUGCGUAGAGAUCGGCAGGAACACCCAGGGGGAAACCAGUCGACUGGGCAUCUACUGACGCUGAGGUGCGAGAGCGUGGGGAGCGAACCGG